ACACCGUUGGUGAAGUGGUUAUCAUGCUUGCCUUCCAUUUCCUAGGUGUUUAUAGAUGCAGCAAGCGGCUCGGGUUCGAUUCCCGAACGGUGUA